ACACACAAGCAUAUCCCAAACCCUGGAACGAACAACUUCAAAUCCACAGAAUCUAAUCAAGAUAAUUCCUUCAAUUACAAUUCCUCUCCACUAAACUUACAACCUUGCAAUAAACAGUGACUGGAAACUUCCAUACGUCCUCAAUCUUUCACAAAAAUUGAUAAAUAGUGAUCCAUAAACAACUUUGUAAAUCAAACAUUAAUUCAUUAAAUCGAUUUUUUUCACUAGAAUCAACACUAACACAAAAGAAACAAAAAAACUAAGCAGAAGAGAUAGCACCAAGCUUAUCCCCGGCUCACAACUCUCACAGUCUAGCCCUCGGCUUAUGAUUCUCACAGUCUGGCAUUUUCUUCCUCUCUUCCAUCCUCCUUAUACUACCCUGAGAUACCAACUCCUAUACUACAGAUGAUAACUACUUUUCUUGACUAUUCAUCUAUUCUACCUGCUGAACCACCUUUUCAACAGUUAUCUAUCUCUGUUUACACUAUAUACUAG
rnacentral:lncRNA from 1 species